UACGAAGGGGGCUAGCGUUGCUCGGAAUCACUGGGCGUAAAGCGCACGUAGGCGGAUUGUUAAGUCAGGGGUGAAAUCCUGGAGCUCAACUCCAGAACUGCCUUUGAUACUGGGAGACUUCGAGUCCGGGAGAGGUGAGUGGAACUGCGAGUGUAGAGGUGAAAUUCGUAGAUAUUCGCAAGAACACCAGUGGCGAAGGCGGCUCACUGGCCCGGUACUGACGCUGAGGUGCGAAAGCGUGGGGAGCAAACAGG
rnacentral:rRNA from 1 species